CAGCAGCCGCGGUAAACGUAGGUGGCAAGCGUUGUCCGGAAUUAUUGGGCGUAAAGGGCUCGCAGGCGGUUUCUUAAGUCUGAUGUGAAAGCCCCCGGCUCAACCGGGGAGGGUCAUUGGAAACUGGGAAACUUGAGUGCAGAAGAGGAGAGUGGAAUUCCACGUGUAGCGGUGAAAUGCGUAGAGAUGUGGAGGAACACCAGUGGCGAAGGCGACUCUCUGGUCUGUAACUGACGCUGAGGAGCGAAAGCGUGGGGAGCGAACAGGAUUAGAUACCCGAGUAGUCCCUGUCUCUUAUACA
rnacentral:rRNA from 1 species